AUUGUAAAAUGCACCUUUAUCUAAGGCUGCUGUAAGUAGAUCCCUCAGCUCAAGAGAGGGAUAUUGUCCAAUCUCCUAGAGGAGGUUUAACAGCAGAAAUGAGAUUGGUAUUAAUGUAUAGAAAGUAGACCUGAUCAGCUAAGAGGAAACCAUGCCUCAACAGGUUGUGAGAACACCUCUGCGUCCAAACCAUCAUUAAGUAGCUCACAUUUAGCCUCCAUUUUAAUUGUUAAGAUAUGUAGCAACAAUUUAAAAACACAAGAAAUUUAACCAAAGUAAAAUGUAGAACAAAGGCAUUUGUAAUAUAUUUGGCACAUCUUAUGUCCAGGGAUUUGUAUAGUUGGGAGAAGUUACUAGUGUAAUCGUUCCCAUAAUCCAUUGAUGAACAUUAAGUUUAUUAUUGCAUUUUUAGUAAAUAUAAAUUUCAAUUUAUGAAGUUCGUAUACAUUUUGCCUAAGGAAAUAUUUUUAAAUCUUCAUACUUAAAUCAUUGUCUUCCGUAGCACUUUACAGACAGAUUGAGGCUUAUUUUUAAUUUAGUUGUGUAUGAAAUGACUUAAGGAAUUACAAGAAAACAGCUCUCUAUUUUAGUGCUUGAUGUCAUUACAGCUAUAAAAGUAAAACUUGCGGUUCUAUAAUUUAAGUGAAUGCACACCUUAAGUUGAUUUCCAUCUCAAUCUCUUAGCCACUUACUUAUUCAGUGGAUAAUUCUGGCCCACCCUGUUGAUCACAACAGUAAAAAUACUGUAUGACACAUCUAUGGCAAACAUACAAUCGAUUCCUUGUCUCUAAUCAUAUCUGUUUUUUGUUUUGUUUUGUUUUGUUUUGUUUUGGUUGUGGGUUGUUUUGUUUUGUUUUGUUUGGUUUUGUUUUGUUUUGUUGUAGAGAAAUGGUCAGACUAUGUGCUCCUCCUCCCCAAAUAUGAUUUUCAGGAAUCGCAGGAAUCCAUGAAUGUGUCAUUACAUGUCUAAGGGGAGUUAGAAUCAUAGGAAAUAUGCCUCAUUGAAGACAUGUAUCAGUCAAAUUUAAUACUGGUUGAUUAUCCUAGAUUGUCUGGGUUGGCAAAGCAAAGUUCAAAUUUCUUUCCUUUGCCAUAAAUAGGAAGACUUUGAGUCAGAUGAGAUGAUGUAAUAAAGACCCAGUGAGCUUUAACGGGGGAAGAAAGAGAAGCAAGGUGAUGAUGGGCAGUUUCUAGAAACAGAAAAUGAGAACAAAUGGAUUUUUUACUACAUCCACCCGAAGCAUGACUGACAUCUUACUUCAGACUUCUGAUAUCUGAAAAUGCAAAAUAAUAUGCUUGAGUUGCUUAAAACCACUAAGUUUGUGGUAAUUUAUUCCAACAGUGGUGUGAAACAAAUAGUGAUUUUACUUCUUGGAAGUGGAACGUUAUGAUUAAAAAAAAAAUCUUCAAAAUGAAGUAGGAAUGAACAGUGUUAAAAAUCUGGAAGCAUUUUGAGAAAUGUACUACAGAAAAAGUUUACAUUGUUUAAUUGGGACUAUUAGAUUACACAUGUUGUAAUUGACUGUCAAUUGGGAUUUCUGAGGAAGUAAGACUCAUGAGAGAAAAUACAUUCAUGCCUUUUAGAACGUAUACAUACCUAAGUAAAUUAUUGGU
rnacentral:lncRNA from 1 species